rnacentral:tRNA from 1 species
GCCUUCUGGCGAUCUAGACAAAACAAGUCCACCGUGGGCUUUGAAAAACGCUUUCCUUGAUAAAAUUUAAGCGUUUUAUAAGAGGAUGCCCGGGAAGGUUUUCCGGUUUAUCCCGGAGGGCUUGUAGCUCAGUUGGUUAGAGCGCGCGCUUGAUAAGCGUGAGGUCGGAGGUUCAAGUCCUCCCAGGCCCACCAGUUUAUCCAUUACUUUCAUAAGUGCUUUUAAAAAAUAAGUACUUCUAAAAAGAUUGCUUCUAAAAAGCUUAUCAAAAUUGGCAGGCUUAUUGCUUUUGUGUGAGUAAUCCAAAGUUAAAGCAAAUUAAUGGCAAAAAAACAGUUCAAAUGCUAAAUACUAAGGAGUCAAAAUUCCUUGCAAAGUGAUUUUUACAGCGUCCAUUUGGUUGAUAUAAAUUCCAAAUGCUCAUAGACGUCAAUGCCUAUAUGAAACUAUCGGUUCAAUCAUAUCGCUUUGAGUUAUAUAGAUUUUGUAAUCCCUCUUUUGAUCGUUUUAAACGCUUUAUCCUGAUUUAGGGGCCGUAGCUCAGCUGGGAGAGCACCUGCUUUGCAAGCAGGGGGUCGUCGGUUCGAUCCCGUCCGGCUCCACCAUAAGGUCAUCAUCAUUGUUGUAAGAACAGUUUUGUAAAAGGUUUGCGAACCUUUUGCUUGUUCUAUUGAAAUUGUGAAGAGAAGAUAUAUUCA